rnacentral:rRNA from 2 species
GUGCUGUGAGCUCGAUGAGUAGGGCGGGACACGUGGUAUCCUGUCUGAAUAUGGGGGGACCAUCCUCCAAGGCUAAAUACUCCUGACUGACCGAUAGUGAACCAGUACCGUGAGGGAAAGGCGAAAAGAACCCCGGCGAGGGGAGUGAAAAAGAACCUGAAACCGUGUACGUACAAGCAGUGGGAGCACCCUUUGGGUGUGACUGCGUACCUUUUGUAUAAUGGGUCAGCGACUUAUAUUCUGUAGCAAGGUUAACCGAAUAGGGGAGCCGGAGGGAAACCGAGUCUUAACCGGGCGUUAAGUUGCAGGGUAUAGACCCGAAACCCGGUGAUCUAGCCAUGGGCAGGUUGAAGGUUGGGUAACACUAACUGGAGGACCGAACCGACUAAUGUUGAAAAAUUAGCGGAUGACCUGUGGCUGGGGGUGAAAGGCCAAUCAAACCGGGAGAUAGCUGGUUCUCCCCGAAAGCUAUUUAGGUAGCGCCUCGUGAAUUCAUCUCCGGGGGUAGAGCACUGUUUCGGCUAGGGGGCCAUCCCGGCUUACCAACCCGAUGCAAACUGCGAAUACCGGAGAAUGUUAUCACGGGAGACACACGGCGGGUGCUAACGUCCGUCGUGAAGAGGGAAACAACCCAGACCGCCAGCUAAGGUCCCAAAGUCAUGGUUAAGUGGGAAACGAUGUGGGAAGGCCCAGACAGCCAGGAUGUUGGCUUAGAAGCAGCCAUCAUUUAAAGAAAGCGUAAUAGCUCACUGGUCGAGUCGGCCUGCGCGGAAGAUGUAACGGGGCUAAACCAUGCACCGAAGCUGCGGCAGCGACACUGUGUGUUGUUGGGUAGGGGAGCGUUCUGUAAGCCUGUGAAGGUGUGUCGUGAGGCAUGCUGGAGGUAUCAGAAGUGCGAAUGCUGACAUAAGUAACGAUAAAGCGGGUGAAAAGCCCGCUCGCCGGAAGACCAAGGGUUCCUGUCCAACGUUAAUCGGGGCAGGGUGAGUCGACCCCUAAGGCGAGGCCGAAAGGCGUAGUCGAUGGGAAACGGGUUAAUAUUCCCGUACUUGGUGUUACUGCGAAGGGGGGACGGAGAAGGCUAUGUUGGCCGGGCGACGGUUGUCCCGGUUUAAGCGUGUAGGUGUGUGUUCCAGGUAAAUCCGGUUCACUUUAACACUGAGGCGUGACGACGAGGCACUACGGUGCUGAAGCAACAAAUGCCCUGCUUCCAGGAAAA